GACGAACGCUGGCGGCGUGCUUAACACAUGCAAGUCGAACGGAAAGGCCCUGCUUUUGUGGGGUGCUCGAGUGGCGAACGGGUGAGUAACACGUGAGUAACCUGCCCUUGACUAUGGGAUAACUUCAGGAAACUGGGGCUAAUACCGGAUAGGAGCUCCUGCUGCAUGGUGGGGGUUGGAAAGUUUCGGCGGUUGGGGAUGGACUCGCGGCUUAUCAGCUUGUUGGUGGGGUAGUGGCUUACCAAGGCUUUGACGGGUAGCCGGCCUGAGAGGGUGACCGGCCACAAUGGGACUGAGAUACGGCCCAGACUCCUACGGGAGGCAGCAGUGGGGAAUAUUGCACAAUGGGCGGAAGCCUGAUGCAGCAACGCCGCGUGCGGGAUGACGGCCUUCGGGUUGUAAACCGCUUUCGCCUGUGACGAAGCGUGAGUGACGGUAAUGGGUAAAGAAGCACCGGCUAACUACGUG
rnacentral:rRNA from 1 species